CCUACGGGAGGCAGCAGUAGGGAAUAUUGCACAAUGGGGAAAGCCUGAUGCAGCAACGCCGCGUGCGCGAUGAAGGUCUUCGGAUCGUAAAGCGCUUUUCUGAGAGAUGAGAAAGGACAGUAUCCCAGGAAUAAGUCUCGGCUAACUACGUGCCAGCAGCCGCGGUAAAACGUAGGAGGCGAGCGUUAUCCGGAUUCACUGGGCGUAAAGCGCGUGCAGGUGGUUCGGUAAGUUGGGCGUGAAAUCUCCCGGCUCAACUGGGAGAGGUCGUUCAAUACUACCGGACUUGAGAGCAGAAGAGGAAGAUGGAAUUCCCGGUGUAGUGGUGAAAUGCGUAGAUAUCGGGAGGAACACCAGUGGCGAAGGCGAUCUUCUGGUCUGUUUCUGACACUCAGACGCGACAGCUAGGGUAGUAAACGGGAUUAGAGACCCCGGUAAUCCUAGCCGUAAACGAUGUGAACUUGGCGUUGGUGGGUUAAACUCCAUCAGUGCCGAAGCAAACGCGAUAAGUUCACCGCCUGGGGACUACCGCCGCAGGUUUAAAACUCAAAGGAAUUGACGG
rnacentral:rRNA from 1 species